AGUGAACGCUGGCGGUAGGCCUAACACAUGCAAGUCGAACGGCAGCACAGUAAGAGCUUGCUCUUACGGGUGGCGAGUGGCGGACGGGUGAGGAAUACAUCGGAAUCUACUUUUUCGUGGGGGAUAACGUAGGGAAACUUACGCUAAUACCGCAUACGACCUACGGGUGAAAGCAGGGGAUCUUCGGACCUUGCGCGAUUGAAUGAGCCGAUGUCGGAUUAGCUAGUUGGCGGGGUAAAGGCCCACCAAGGCGACGAUCCGUAGCUGGUCUGAGAGGGUGAUCCGCCAAACUGGAACUGAGACACGGUCCAGACUCCUACGGGAGGCAGCAGGAGGGAAUAUUGGGCAAUGGGCGGAAGCCUGAUGCAGCCACGCCGCGUGGGUGAAGAAGGGCUUCGGGUUGGAAAACCCUUUUUUUGGGGAAGAAAAGCAGGCGGAUUAAAUCCCCGCGUUUUGACGGUACCCAAAGAAAAAGCAACGGCUAACUUCGUG
rnacentral:rRNA from 1 species